GUGCCAGCAGCCGCGGUAAUACGGAGGGUGCAAGCGUUAUCCGGAUUCAUUGGGUUUAAAGGGUGCGCAGGCGGGGCCUUAAGUCAGUGGUGAAAUCCCUUCGCUUAACGAAGGAACUGCCAUUGAUACUGAGGUUCUUGAAUCUAGUUGACGUUAGUGGAAUGUGUCAUGUAGCGGUGAAAUGCUUAGAUAUGACACAGAACACCGAUCGCGAAGGCAGCUAACGAAGCUAGUAUUGACGCUCAGGCACGACAGCAUGGGGAGCAAACAGGAUUAGAUACCCUGGUAGUCC
rnacentral:rRNA from 1 species